rnacentral:misc_RNA from 1 species
GAUGAAGAACGCAGCGAAAUGCGAUAAGUAAUGUGAAUUGCAGAAUUCAGUGAAUCAUCGAGUCUUUGAACGCACAUUGCGCCCCCUGGUAUUCCGGGGGGCAUGCCUGUCCGAGCGUCAUUGCCGCCCUCAAGCACGGCUUGUGUGUUGGGCCCCCGCCCCCCGGCUUCGGGGGGCGGGCCCGAAAGGCAGCGGCGGCACCGCGUCCGGUCCUCGAGCGUAUGGGGCUUCGUCACCCGCUCUGUAGGCCCGGCCGGCGCCCGCCGGCGACCCCAAUCAAUCUUUCCCGGUUGACCUCGGAUCAGGUAGGGAUACCCGCUGAACUUAAGCAUAUCAAUAAGCGGAGGA